AUGCUUUUCUCAUUGCUAUAGUCUUCUUCAAAAUAUUGAAAUCUUAUUUGUUCUUAAGAACUAGUCCUCAAACACCCAGAAACAUGGACAAAACUACAUUUAUGGUGAAACUCAGAAACUGAGAAAUUACAUGCAAGAUUUUCAAAAGAACUCUGUGUACACAGUGUAGAAUGUAAUGGGAAGCCCCUGACUGCAUUAUGAAGAGAGGAAGAAAAGGGGGUCUGGAUCUUUAAGACAUCUAGACCAGAUUGGCUGUAUUAAAAGCUGGGGAAUCAAAGAUGGCUGGAUAUGAUGCUAGCCACAUUAUUCCACUGACUGCAAAAACAGGUCCAACAUCUAGACACAGGAGAGCAGCCACAGUUG